rnacentral:lncRNA from 1 species
AGGGCGUUAUCUUCAGGCAAGUAACUACUGAGAUGAAGGAGAGCUGUUUUCCAAUAUUAAUACAACUGCGUAUUUGCAACUUUGGCUCUGACUAUGCUUAAAGCUUGGAAGAUAUCAACAUAUUGUUCCAAAACAGUCUCCAAUUAAUUCACUGGAGAGAAAAUAACUAAAACAAGGAUAUCCACUCUCUGUUCUGGGCGUAUAGGUAGUCUGCAGGCUGAUGAGUCCAUCUCAGACCUGAAGGAAUACUCACAUUCCCUUAAACUUGCUGAUCUUUUUUUUUCAGUUAACUUGCUUGUUCCAGUUAAAAUGUGCUACCUCUACCCGUAGUUUAUAGUCAAGAACUCCACUGCUUUACCCACAUGAUUCAGAGACCUUUAUCCUUAUCCUCAGGUCUUCUACUCCCAUCUGUGCCCAUAAAGCAAACUGGACUGCUGCUUGGGUGGGAGACCUACAGAGCAUUAUGGUUGCUAUCGGCGGUGGAACUAAAGGUGGCAUUUUUAUUCCUUGAAUCAACAGUCAGCCAACACCCUCACCUGGUAUUCAAGGUUGCGAAAAUCUGGCGGUACAACCAAAUGAUCUGAUAAGAAACCAGCCAGCAAUAAAAGUCUCUCCUGAAGACA